AGAAUGAACGUUGGCGGCGUGGAUUAGGCAUGCAAGUCGAGCGCGAAGAGUUUGGUAGCUUGCUAUUGAACUCGGAAAGCGGCGAAAGGGAGAGUAACGCGUAGUUACGUGCCCCAGGGUUCGGAAUAGCCACGGGAAACUGUGGGUAAUGCCGAAUAGCAUCUCCGGAUCAAAGGUGUGAUUCCGCCCUGGGAGCGGACUGCGUCCUACUAGCUUGUUGGCGGGGUAAUGGCCCACCAAGGCAACGAUGGGUAGCGGGUGUGAGAGCAUGACCCGUCUCACUGGGACUGAGACACUGCCCAGACACCUACGGGUGGCUGCAGUCGAGAAUCUUCGGCAAUGGGCGAAAGCCUGACCGAGCGACGCCGCGUGCGGAUGAAGGCCCUCGGGGUUGUAAACCGCUGUCGUAGAGGAGGAAGGCUCCGUGAAGAACGGAGUUUGACCUAUUCUAGGAGGAAGGACGGCUAAGUUCGCGCCAGCAGCCGC
rnacentral:rRNA from 1 species